rnacentral:rRNA from 1 species
GACCUGGCUGGGUGGUCUUGCCGCAAGGUAAGCACUGCUCUGGUCGGGUCUUUCCUUCUGGGGAACCUGCGUGCGCUUAAUUGAGUGCGCAGGGGAUCCAGGACUUUUACUUUGAAAAAAUUAGAGUGUUUAAAGCAGGCUCACGCUUGAAUACAUUAGCAUGGAAUAACGGAAUAGGAC